UACGUAGGGGGCAAGCGUUGUCCGGACUUACUGGGCGUAAAGCGCGUGCAGGCGGAUUGGUAUGUGCCGUGUGAAAGCUCUCAGCUUGCCUGGGAGAGGUCGCGGUAGACAGCCGAUCUGGAGGCUCGGAGAGGUCAGUGGAAUUCCCGGUGUAGUGGUGAAAUGCGUAGAUAUCAGGAAGAACACCAAUGGCGAAAGCAGCUCUCUGGGACGGUACUGACGCUGAGACGCGAAAGCGUGGGGAGCGAACAGG
rnacentral:rRNA from 1 species